GCUUGAUCAGGGCUCUCACCACCGGUUUGAUUUUUGUUGUUUUUUCACUCUGUGUUAUUAGCUUAUGUAAAUAUAUUUUGUAAAUACACGUGCAUAUACUGAUUUGGGAUUUGCUUCUUUCGCAUGUAUCUUUCAUGGGUUUCGCUUAUUCAUUUCUUGAUUCUUUUGGGUUUGUUUUGUUGCAGAUGUUGAGAAGUUUUACCAACAG
rnacentral:misc_RNA from 1 species